GGAUGUGAGAGUGAUCUGGCUAUGACAUCUGUCACCCCAUUGAUCGCCAGGGUUGAUUCAGCUGAUCUGGCUGGCUAGGCGGGGGUCCCCUUCCUCCCUCACUGCUCCAUGUGCGUCCCUCCUGAAGCUCAGUCGAAGAGGACGGCCUUCCCCCAAUACAGACGGACCGAUCAAGGGUAUACUAUUGUAUUGGUCGAGGGUAUACUAGCAGCUGCGCUCCCCUACUAGAACCUCCAAACAAGCUCUCAAGAAAAGAAAACUAGUAAGAGGCUAAGAUUCAUGCCCAAAAACUCCAUCCAGUUUUAGGGAAUCUACUUUAAACUAUUCUUACAUCU
ensembl:misc_RNA 7SK 7SK RNA